rnacentral:SRP_RNA from 1 species
UUGUGCUAGGCGGGGAGUCAGCGGUGCCCUGUACCCGAAAUCCGCUUUAUGCGGGGCUGAAUUCCCCCCUUCGGGCAAAACCUGAAAAACGACCCAUGCCGGCCGGUCGCCGCGCAACAGACAGUCUCGAACCUCGUCAGGUCCGGAAGGAAGCAGCGAUAAGGGAUGGAAGUCUGUGUCGAGGAUCGAUCCCGGUCGGAUCAUGGGACCGGAUUUCAGGUUCGCUCAACGGGGGGUGCACAA